rnacentral:tRNA from 1 species
AUUCUUAUAGUUUAAAUAUAAAACUUAUCAUUUUCAAUGAUAAAAUGAGAAUUUUCUCUAAGAAUG